AGGUGUGCCCAGGUGUAUUUUGGGCGUGCCCAGGUGUAUUUUGGGUGUAUUUUGGGUGUGCCCAGGUGUGCCCAGGUGUAUUUUGGGUGUGCCCAGGUGUAUUUUGGGUGUGCCCAGGUGUAUUUUGGGUGUGCCCAGGUGUAUUUUGGGUGUGCCCAGGUGUGCCCAGGUGUGCCCAGGUGUAU